rnacentral:rRNA from 1 species
UGGGGAAUAUUGGACAAUGGGCGAAAGCCUGAUCCAGCCAUGUGCGUGUGUGAAGAAGGUCUUCGGAUUGUAAAGCACUUUAAGUUGGGAGGAAGGGCAUUAACCUAAUACGUUAGUGUUUUGACGUUACCGACAGAAUAAGCACCGGCUAACUCUGUGCCAGCAGCCGCGGUAAUACAGAGGGUGCAAGCGUUAAUCGGAAUUACUGGGCGUAAAGCGCGCGUAGGUGGUUUGUUAAGUUGGAUGUGAAAUCCCCGGGCUCAACCUGGGAACUGCAUUCAAAACUGACUGACUAGAGUAUGGUAGAGGGUGGUGGAAUUUCCUGUGUAGCGGUGAAAUGCGUAGAUAUAGGAAGGAACACCAGUGGCGAAGGCGACCACCUGGACUAAUACUGACACUGAGGUGCGAAAGCGUGGGGAGCAAACA